GAUUUCUUGCUUUGUAUCACUGUCUCUCUGAGAAUAAGCACGUAAUUAUUUUGGCUGAAAUGACUGGAUAUCUCACCCAAUUAUUCAUGGCUUUGAAACAAGGAUUGCUGUUUCUUGUCCUUCUGGCAAUGGACUGAAAACCCUCUUCUAUGAACGCUAUGAAUUGGAGCAGGUUGGACAGAUUCCAGCAUGCCACUGCUUUCCAUGUUACUGCACCCCUCAGGCUACGUGAAUACUACCUUCAAAUUUUAAAUUACAAAAGAAGAGGAACAGUUCACAACUGAAUUGGAAAGGGAGUCAAUGAGAAUCCAUCCACUCUGUUUUAGACCUCCAUACCACUGCCCAGCUAUAGAGCAAAGAAAGAGGAAGACUGACGAAAGAGCAGAGAAAUGGUGAUUGCAAAGGGGAAGCUGAGGGUAGAAAUCAAGAAA